rnacentral:rRNA from 1 species
AACGAACGCUGGCGGCGUGCCUAACACAUGCAAGUCGUGCGAGAAAGUUCCUUCGGGAGCGAGUAAAGCGGCGCACGGGUGAGUAACACGUAGGUAACCUGCCCCCCAGUCUGGAACAACUAGAGGAAACUCUAGCUAAUGCCGGAUGAGACCACGAUCCCUUCGGGGGUUGCGGCCAAAGAUGGCCUCUACUUGUAAGCUAUCGCUGAGGGAUGGGCCUGCGGGCCAUUAGCUUGUUGGUGAGGUAACGGCUCACCAAGGCUGUGAUGGCUAGCUGGUCUGAGAGGAUGACCAGCCACACUGGGACUGAGACACGGCCCAGACUCCUACGGGAGGCAGCAGUAAGGAAUAUUGCGCAAUGGACGAAAGUCUGACGCAGCGACGCCGCGUGGGGGAUGAAGGUCUUCGGGAUUGUAAACCCCCUUUCGGGAGGGAAGAUGGAGUGGGUAACCACUUGGACGGUACCUCCAGAAGCAGCCACGGCUAACUUCGUGCCAGCAGCCGCGGUAAUC